AUUGAACGCUGGCGGCAGGCCUAACACAUGCAAGUCGAAUGGUAACAGGAAACAGCUUGCUGUUUCGCUGACGAGUGGCGGACGGGUGAGUAAUGUCUGGGAAGCUGCCUGCUGGAGGGGGAUAACUACUGGAAACGGUAGCUAAUACCGCAUAACGUCGCAAGCCCAAAGAGGGGGACCUUCGGGCCUCUUGCCAUCAGAUGUGCCCAGAUGGGCUUGGCUAGUAGGUGGGGUAACGGCUCACCUAGGCGACGAUCCCUAGCUGGUCUGAGAGGAGGACCAGCCACACUGAAAGUGAGACACGGUCCAGACUCCUACGGGAGGCAGAAGUGGGGAAUAUAGCACAAUGGGCGGAAGCCUGAUGCAGCCAUGCCGCGUGGAUGAAGAAGGCCUUCGGGUGGUAAAGUACUUUCAGCGGGGAGGAAGGGAGUAAAGUUAAUACCUUUGCGCAUUGACGUAACCCGCAGAAGAAGCACCGCCUAACUCCUU
rnacentral:rRNA from 1 species